UGGGGGAUCUUGCGCAAUGGGCGAAAGCCUGACGCAGCAACGCCGCGUGGGGGAUGAAGGCUCUCGGGUCUUAAACCCCUUUCAGGAGGGACGAAAAUGACGGUACCUCCAGAAGAAGCCCCGGCCAACUACGUGCCAGCAGCCGCGGUAACACGUAGGGGGCGAGCGUUGUCCGGAUUUAUUGGGCGUAAAGAGCUCGUAGGCCGCUCGGUAAGUCGGGUGUGAAAUUUCGAGGCUCAACCUCGAACUGCCAUCCGAUACUGCCAUGGCUAGAGACCGGUAGAGGAGCGUGGAAUUCCUGGUGUAGCGGUGAAAUGCGCAGAUAUCAGGAGGAACACCAACGGCGAAGGCAGCGCUCUGGGCCGGUACUGACGCUGAGGAGCGAAAGCAUGGGGAGCAAACAGGAUUAGAUACCCCCGUAGUCC
rnacentral:rRNA from 1 species